rnacentral:rRNA from 1 species
AUUGAACGCUGGCGGCAGGCCUAACACAUGCAAGUCGAACGGUAACAGGAAGAAGCUUGCUUCUUUGCUGACGAGUGGCGGACGGGUGAGUAAUGUCUGGGAAACUGCCUGAUGGAGGGGGAUAACUACUGGAAACGGUAGCUAAUACCGCAUAACGUCGCAAGACCAAAGAGGGGGACCUUCGGGCCUCUUGCCAUCGGAUGUGCCCAGAUGGGAGUAGCUAGUAGGUGGGGUAACGGCUCACCUAGGCGACGAUCCCUAGCUGGUCUGAGAGGAUGACCAGCCACACUGGAACUGAGACACGGUCCAGACUCCUACGGGAGGCAGCAGUGGGGAAUAUUGCACAAUGGGCGCAAGCCUGAUGCAGCCAUGCCGCGUGUAUGAAGAAGGCCUUCGGGUUGUAAAGUACUUUCAGCGGGGAGGAAGGGAGUAAAGUUAAUACCUUUACUCAUUGACGUUACCCGCAGAAGAAGCACCGGCUAACUCCGUG